rnacentral:rRNA from 1 species
AGUGAACGCUGGCGGUAGGCCUAACACAUGCAAGUCGAACGGCAGCACAGUAAGAGCUUGCUCUUACGGGUGGCGAGUGGCGGACGGGUGAGGAAUACAUCGGAAUCUACUUUUUCGUGGGGGAUAACGUAGGGAAACUUACGCUAAUACCGCAUACGACCUACGGGUGAAAGCAGGGGAUCUUCGGACCUUGCGCGAUUGACUGAGCCGAUGUCGGAUUAGCUAGUUGGCGGGGUAAAGGCCCACCAAGGCGACGAUCCGUAGCUGGUCUGAGAGGAUGAUCAGCCACACUGGAACUGAGACACGGUCCAGACUCCUACGGGAGGCAGCAGUGGGGAAUAUUGGACAAAGGGCGCAAGCCUGAUCCAGCCAUACCGCGUGGGUGAAGAAGGCCUUCGGGUUGUAAAGCCCUUUUGUUGGGAAAGAAAAGCAGCAGGUUAAUACCCCGCUGUUCUGACGGUACCCAAAGAAUAAGCACCGGCUAACUUCGUG